CAGGAAAGCUCCGAAGUUGGCGUGAGGUGGCUCGGGAGACCGCGCAGCCGGGCCCCGCCUCCGGACGGGGAGGUGGAACGAGCGCGCGCCCUUUAGGUAAAUGGGCACCUUGCCAAUAUUCUUGGACAUCUGGGAAAAGCAGGGCUGCAUAGCUCAUGAUGAAAAGCUUAAGGAAACAAGUUGUGCCCAUCCUACCAUUUCUACUAUAUCUUAAGAAGAUAACAGCAUCCUAUUAUAACCUCAUUAACGGAAUGGCAGGAAGAAUACCAAAAUAUUUUUCUUGAAAUUCACUGUUAGAAGUACUGGAGAAAGGAAUGGGAUUCAAGUAAUUACUAAAUAUGUAGAAGACUUGCUUCUUGACCAUGAAACUUUCUCAACUUCUUGUGUCUAAAAGCUAUAGGCAUUCACCAGAUUGCAAUAAAUGCCAAGUGAUACUUUA